AUGUGCAUAUCCAUCUUUGGCAAAAAACAUCAUAAUGUGUUGGAACUCCCUCCUGUGAAGCUGAAGGCCGUUUAUAAAUUUCUGGAACAGCUAUAUGUGGGUGGUGCUAAGUGUGUAAUGUCAAUCAACAACACCAAGGAGCCACCUCGCCACAUUAUGGAUAUGAUCAGGGAAUUAUCCACUGUUCCAGAAUGGAUCCAGGAGUUGAAGAAGGAGGCUUGCCGACAAGGGGCUAUGUGCUCACUGGCGCGUGCGAAGGCUUAUCACCCGGAGAUGGAACCGACUCUUCUAGCUGAUGGGUUCCCAUAA
rnacentral:rRNA from 1 species